AACGAACGCUGGCGGCAUGCCUAACACAUGCAAGUCGAACGAGAUCUUCGGGUCUAGUGGCGCACGGGUGCGUAACGCGUGGGAAUCUGCCCUUUGGUUCGGAAUAACAGUUGGAAACGACUGCUGAUACCAGAUGAUGACGAAAGUCCAAAGAUUUAUCGCCAGAGGAUGAGCCCGCGUAGGAUUAGCUAGUUGGUGUGGUAAAGGCGCACCAAGGCGACGAUCCUUAGCUGGUCUGAGAGGAUGGUCAGCCACACUGGGACUGAGACACGGCCCAGAAUCCUACGGGAGGCAGCAGUGGGGAAUAUUGGACAAUGGGCGAAAGCCUGAUCCAGCAAUGCCGCGUGAGUGAUGAAGGCCUUAGGGUUGUAAAGCUCUUUUACCCGGGAUGAUAAUGGCAGUACCGGGAGAAUAAGCUCCGGCUAACUCCGUGCCAGCCGCCGCGGUAA
rnacentral:rRNA from 1 species